rnacentral:rRNA from 1 species
ACUGCUCAGUAACACGUGGAUAACCUGCCCUUGGGUCCGGCAUAACCCCGGGAAACUGGGGAUAAUUCCGGAUAACGCAUAUGUGCUGGAAUGCUUUAUGCGUCAAAUGGAUUCGUCUGCCCAAGGAUGGGUCUGCGGCCUAUCAGGUAGUAGUGGGUGUAAUGUACCUACUAGCCGACAAUGGGUACGGGUUGUGAGAGCAAGAGCCCGGAGAUGGAUUCUGAGACAUGAAUCCAGGCCCUACGGGGCGCAGCAGGCGCGAAAACUUUACAAUGCGGGAAACCGUGAUAAGGGGACACCGAGUGUCAGCAUCAUAUGCUGGCUGUCCAGGUGUGUAAAAUACACCUGUUAGCAAGGGCCGGGCAAGACCGGUGCCAGCCGCCGCGGUAACACCGGCGGCCCGAGUGGUGAUCGUGAUUAUUGGGUCUAAAGGGUCCGUAGCCGGUUUGGUCAGUCCUCCGGGAAAUCUGAUAGCUCAACUAUUAGGCUAUCGGGGGAUACUACCAGACUUGGAACCGGGAGAGGUAAGAGGUACUACAGGGGUAGGAGUGAAAUCUUGUAAUCCCUGUGGGACCACCUGUGGCGAAGGCGUCUUACCAGAACGGGUUCGACGGUGAGGGACGAAAGCUGGGGGCACGAACCGGAUUAGUUACCCGGGUAGUCCCAGCCGUAAACGAUGCUCGCUAGGUGUCAGGCAUGGCGCGACCGUGUCUGGUGCCGCAGGGAAGCCGUGAAGCGAGCCACCUGGGAAGUACGGCCGCAAGGCUGAAACUUAAAGGAAUUGGCGGGGGAGCAC